rfam:Colinus virginianus strain Texas jcf7180006226695, whole genome shotgun sequence.
GAAUUGGCUUUCUUCAAAGCCACAUCAUUUACCUAAAUGUGUUGU